rnacentral:rRNA from 1 species
AGCAUGUUGGUUGCUUGCAACCAAUGAUGGCGACCGGCGGAAGGGUGCGUAACGCGUGAGCGACAUGCCCGUUGCCCGUGGACAACCGGUGGAAACGCCGACUAAUCCACGAUGGGACGAGUUGCUGCAUGGCAGCUCGUUGAAAGUUACGGCGGCGACGGAUUGGCUCGCGUCCGAUUAGCUGGUUGGCGGGGUAACGGCCCACCAAGGCUACGAUCGGUAGGGGUUCUGAGAGGAAGGUCCCCACAAUGGAACUGAGACACGGCCCAUACUCC